rnacentral:rRNA from 1 species
UACGUAGGGGGCAAGCGUUGUCCGGAAUCAUUGGGCGUAAAGCGCGUGUAGGCGGCUUCGUAAGUCCGUUGUGAAAGUCCAGGGCUCAACCCUGGAAUGCCGAUGGAUACUGCGGAGCUAGAGUCCGGAAGAGGCGAGUGGAAUUCCUGGUGUAGCGGUGAAAUGCGCAGAUAUCAGGAGGAACACCAAUGGCGAAGGCGGCUCACUGGACCGGUACUGACGCUGAGGCGCGAAAGCGUGGGGAGCAAACAGG